rnacentral:rRNA from 1 species
CCAAUAGCGUAUAUUAAAGUUGUUGCAGUUAAAAAGCUCGUAGUUGAAUUUCGGGAUCAGCAUGUCGGUCGUGCCUCUGGUACGUACUGGUAUCGUUGAUUUCUACCUUCUGGCGAACUGUGAUGUCAUUAAUUUGGUGUCAUGGGAAAUCAGGACUGUUACUUUGAAAAAAUUAGAGUGUUUAAAGCAGGCACACGCUUGAAUACAUUAGCAUGGAAUAAUGAAAUAGGACGUUUGACCCUAUUUUGUUGGUUUCUAGGAUCGACGUAAUGAUUAAUAGGGAUAGUUGGGGGCAUUAGUAUUCAAUUGUCAGAGGUGAAAUUCUUGGAUUUAUUGAAGACUGACUACUGCGAAAGCAUUUGCCAAGGAUGUUUUCAUUAAUCAAGAACGAAAGUUAGGGGAUCGAAGACGAUCAGAUACCGUCGUAGUCUUAACCAUAAACUAUGCCGACUAGGGAUCGGAUGAUGUUAAUUUUUUAAUAACUCAUUCGGCGCCUUACG